UAAGCACAGGCAAUGGCACUGGAAGAAUUCACGGGUCCGAUUACGUAAUCCCGUGGUCUCUUAGUGGCAUCACUGGUGCUGG
rnacentral:pre_miRNA from 1 species